AGUGUCUCAGAAGACCUGAAGAGGACAGUAAUAAAAAUCAGAGCUACCAGCAUUUGUCCUAUGUGCCAUAUUAUUUGCUGAGUAGAUAGCUAAAUUUUUUCUCUGAAUGAACAGGUUUGCUUCCUCUGUCACCAAAAAGGAGGCAGCUUUUGCAGUUGGGAGUAACGUGGAGCAGCAG